rnacentral:pre_miRNA from 1 species
GUGGUACUCCCUCCGAUCCAUAUUAAUUGUCGAAAUGUUACAUGUAUCUAGACGCUUUUUAGGCAUAGAUACAUACAUAUUUGGGCAAAUUUGAGACAAUUAAUAUGGAUCGGAGGGAAUAUUUU